rnacentral:misc_RNA from 1 species
GAUGAAGAACGCAGCGAAAUGCGAUAAGUAAUGUGAAUUGCAGAAUUCAGUGAAUCAUCGAAUCUUUGAACGCACAUUGCGCCCCCUGGUAUUCCGGGGGGCAUGCCUGUCCGAGCGUCAUUACAACCCUCAAGCUCAGCUUGGUAUUGGGCCCCGCCGACCCGGCGGGCCCUAAAGUCAGUGGCGGUGCCGUCCGGCUCCGAGCGUAGUAAUUCUUCUCGCUCUGGAGGUCCGGUCGUGUGCUCGCCAGCAACCCCCAAUUUUUUUCAGGUUGACCUCGGAUCAGGUAGGCAUACCCGCUGAACUUAAGCAUAUCAAUAAGCGGAGGA